GACAGAGGCCCCAAGCGUUAGGCGGAAUCACUGGGCUUAAAGCGUGUGUAGGCGGAUCGUUAAGUGUCUUGUGAAAUCCCACGGCUCACCCGUGGAACUGCUGGGCAUACUGGCGAUCUUGGGCCAACUAGGGGCAGUCGGAACAAGCGGUGGAGCGGUGAAAUGCGUUGAGAUCGGAAGGAACGCCCGUGGCGAAAGCGAGGUCCUGGACGCCUACUGACGCUGAGACGCGAAAGCCAGGGGAGCGAACGGG
rnacentral:rRNA from 1 species